UCCACUUUGCCUGAGUGGGAUUCUGCCUC
rnacentral:piRNA from 1 species